CACAAUAAUUGAUGAAAGUAAAAGUUCCAGCACAGAAAACAUGCAUUGUAGCAGAGCUCAACGCACAACCGGAUGCUGGGCUGUUCUUAAGGGGCUCUGACACAAACAAAUGGACUCAAUUAAACAUCCCGCCCCCUCGGAGACAUCGUCAUGCGAAGGCCGGAGGAACCUCUGCUUCUCUGGCAUGGACAAACAGGGAAAGCAGGAGCACAGUGCACCAGGAAUCUCAAGGUGUGUGUAGGAUUUUCAGCACACACUGAGAGGAACACAGGCCUGAUGUGUUUUCCAGCAGCACCCGCACCAAGAUCAAGGG